AUGGUGGAGUCUCUGUUUCCCCCAGUCCUCUGGAAGGCCUGUAAUCAAAUUCCACUGGCCCUCAAGGCUGGAUGCCCAGCCCCGUUGUUGGAUCCCCUGGCUGGGAAGCCUCACGUGGGGCGCAGAGCCUUCAGCGCGGCGCUUGCGCCUCUUCGGUGCCUGUCUCCCAGUCUGUGGCUGGCCCUUCGGCACAGUGGGGUUGCUGGCCGUGCCCGCUGGUCUCUGCGGCCAGCCUGCUGGCCUCUCCGUGGGGCUCGUGGGGACUCGGGGCCUGGGGACGCUCUGCCCUGGCUGGUUGUUGAGAGGCUUGCUGCCUUAGGAGGAGUGGGCGGGCUGAGAGGAAGUGAGGAGACCGGAGGGAAGCAGGGUGUGGCUGGGGGGCCAGGGCGGAGGUGGGGCAGUGUCCUCUCUGCUGGCCAAGCGAGGCACGAGGCUGAGCCAGGGCAGCACCGCACCGGCCUCUCCGUGGGCUCGCCCUCCGUCCCCCGCAGCCCACGCCUCCCGCUCCGGAUCUGCUGGGUGCCUCCUACGGCAGACACCCCUCCCAGGCUCCGUCCCGCCUCCAGCCCUGCCUCUGGGCCUGCAGGCCUUGGCUCUCCACCCCUGAGCCCUGGGGUCACAAGUGGGGCACAGCUGGGCUGCCAGGCUCCCAGGGCCUCCUGAGGAGGGUGCCGGGUGUGUGGACCGUGGUCACGCCCCUGCCCUCUCUCCGCCCGGAAGCCCAGGGGCUCCCAGAGCUGGAGGCCCGAGCACGUGGGCCCUCCACCCGCCUCCUGCACGGGUCCCUGGAAGGUGCGCUGGGCCCUUCCACACCUGCCAGGGGUGCAGUGAGAGUUUGGGCCAAGAGUCGUGGGACGGGUCUCCGUUUGACUCUAGCGCUGGCGGACGACCUCCAGGAGCAUGCCUGCUGCCUGCAGAGCUGGCCUCGCAGGGGCCGCCCCGACAGUCGCCCGUCCGGCGGGGCUGACAACCCGGGAGGAGAGGGGCUCCGGCACCUUGCACCACGAAGUUCACCGCCUGCCGCUCCGCCUGUGCCCGAAGCUGCGGGUCGUGAGCUCGGAUCCUGGGCAGUGGCCUCCUGCGGCCCAUGAUGGACUCCACGUAGCCUGCGGUCCGGGAGGAAAGCAGGCGGAGGGCAGUGGGGAGCGGGAACGGCGCCCAGGGCCCUGCCCUCUGGCCGCAGCUGCUCCAGCGGAGGUCCAGCCCAACGCCCCGCCCCACCCCGCCCCACCCCGCCGCAGCCAGAGCUCCGCCCAGAGGCCUUCAGUCCGUGUCCAGCGCAAAACACGCUGUUCUGUGUGGACACGGAUUCUGUGUCGGGAAGCGGGACAGAGGCAGGGGCCUGGGCUUGCCUAGUGGCAAGCUUCACACCCUCUGUGACUUCUGUGAUGCACUUAGAUCUGACAUGGGACAGAAGGGUGAUUUUUACACUAAAAGGUGAAAAGCCACGUGGGGGACUUGGGUGCAGGAGUAAUUCUAGACAGUGGCAGCUGGAACUGGGGAGGAAACAUCAACCCUUGGUCUGCUCAGGGAGCGGCUGGGGGUCUGCGCACAUCCCUUACUCCAGGGCCGGGCUCCGUGGGCCCCAAGCUUCCGUCCCUGGGAUCCUCUUUAGGGAAAAGAGCCAAGAAGUGCCCUGUUGGUGAUGCUCCUGACCGGUGAGGACGCUGGCUUUGCUAGGUGUUGGUAAGAACUAAAUCCCCAGCUUGAUCUUACACGUGUCUGGGGCCUGGGAGAACCACUAGUACACGUGGUCAUUACAAGAACGACCGUGUCCUGAGCGCUGGCUACAGAGCGCCUAGUGAAGGCCGCCUCUGCCUCUGUGGUUUCCCAGGGAUUUCUGACUGCAUGCCGGGCACCGUGCUUCCUAAGCCUGCAUCGUCUGGGUGGACUUGCUCACUUGCGGGCCACGUCCCAGGGUUGGGGCUCCAGGGAAGCAAUGAGCUCCUGGUGUCAGCACGGUGCCUGGCACUGGGUAGGCGUUCAACACACGCGUGUGGCAUAACUGAGCAUCACUCUCUGCUCACAUGUGCAACGCUGGGUCAGAGGGCACCUGCGCUUCGCGCUGGGAAAAGGUACUGGGCAGGCCUGCAGGGCCUCCCGCGGAAGGGACCCUGGCCUCACCGGGCAGCCGGGGGCGGGGCGGGGGUCCCAGCUGGCACCUCCGCGAGCCCCGUGGACUCGGGAAGCGGCUGUCCCCUUGGUCUCCUCCUCUCCCUCUGGAAGUGGGCAACGGGGCCGCCCAGGCGUCUGAGUCGUGGUGAGGACUAGGUCAGUGUGAUGGGAGCCCGUCGACACCGGCCCACGCCACGUGGCACAAGGGCCUGCAUUUGACUGUCUCCACCCGCAGUGGCUCCGUGGACUGACUCAUUAACACUGCUUCUGUCACCGUCUAACCUUUCGUAAUCGGUGGCCUUUUGUCCCAUCCAGCUGUGGGGGUCACCCUCGGCCCAGGGAGCCUGAGGCCCGUGGGGCGCUCCUGGGGGGUGGAGAUGGUUUGCCGGCUUCCUGGAGCCCCCAGGAGGCUGCCGCACCUGAGCACUGACCUGGCCCCGCUCGGGCUGGUCAGCCCAGGGGGAGCUGUGCUCGCGGGCUCCUGAGAGAGGGUCAGCAGUGAGCCCCUGGGGCGGGGGUGGGCCCCGGACCUGCUCUGGGAUGCGCGCCGAGCCCCGCUCCGCGUCUGUUCCAGGAGCCGCCGUGGCGCCGACCUCCUCCCCCUUUCGUCUGCUCUGCUGCUCUUUGCCACGUGUCUCGGGUGGAGGACUGUCUUUUAUGUCCACAGACUUGUCUUCCUUUUUGAAACACUUAAAAAAAAUCCCUUCAUCUUUAAAUGGUGGCCACGUCUCACCGUUUUACAAUGGGACACUUAUACUGGCAUUCAUUUCUGAAAUGUCUGUCCUUCACUUGGGACUUUUUAGAGCCCUACACUGGAGACUUCCCCGGUGGCCCAGCGGUUGAGACUCCGUGCUUCCACUGCAGGGGCGAGGGUUGGAUCCCUGGUUGGGGAACUAAGAUCCCCCGUGCCGUGAGGUGCACCCAAAGAAACAACCAAGAAAAAUAAUCUCCAAGAUGAUCCAGGAAAGCGGUGAGCCUUUCAAGCAGGCAGAUGGACGGAUGGCCUCAGGUGCAGAUGUGAAGCUGCCUUCCUAUCCCACCAUGGUCACAGAACAGCUUCUAUUUGAUAUCCUUGGAAAUCUGUGGCCAGACUGUGGGCAAAUUCUGUAGCUAAACCACAGCUUUCCAUUUCCAGGUGCGGGACUCGCUCUCUCCGUGAGCCCGCCCACUCAGCAUUUCCCACUCACGCCGGGGGGGUGAGGCCUUGAGGAGGGCCUGGCUCUGGACCCUCCUCACAUGGAGUUUGUGGUCCCACCUCCCCAGCGGGGCGGGAGCUCACCCGGCUCCAGUGGCCCCCACCCCCCACCAGAGGGGGGCCCGGGAGGAGGGGCUGCUGCCCACAGCUGUGCUCGCAGCUGGCUCACCUGUCUGCUGACAUCGAGCAAGGGUUGCUUGGGUGAAGUCCUUUAUUUUCUUGUACUUCUGCAGAAAGCUCUCCAAAAACCGGGCAGCUUCCUGAGCAGGAACUCCGAGGCAAGCAGCAAGCCGGUCCUUCCCUGUGUGAGCAGAAACUCGGUCAGCAGUCAGCCUAACUCUGACCCCGUGGGGCCCAGGGGCACCAAGCAGUGACCAGCAUGCGUGGAAGCGAGUCCACAGAGGCUCUGGAGAGACUCGGGGAGUCAAGGCCUGGUGGGCACUCCUGCCUCUUCUGACCACUCAGGAUGGUGCUGGCUUUUGGCUCCAGGAUCUAAGUGCUUGGUGCUGGCCAGUCUGGACCGGGGCCUGGUAAACGCUCGUUGAUUAGAAUGCUGACCAGGGCGUGGCAGGUGAUUCAGGGGGUGCGGACCCGAUCGCAGCCUGUCCAGAGGGAGGCCUGCCCCAGAACUGGGGAGGCUGGGGAGUGUGGGGGCAUAAAGAGGAAGGGAAAGCCCCCGGGCCAGGUCAUGAGGGUAUGGUGGUGGGGAGCUCCCUUCCAGGGGAUUUUUUUUUUUUAACAAAUACAUCUGGUCCAGGCUAAUAUUUGGUUCUUUCAAAUCAGUUCUUUGGUGAUCUGACGAAGCUUCUUAUAGCAAGAUCUCUGGUCAGAAUAGCACCCCAAGUUCCAGGACAGGACCCCAAGUUCAAGAACAGGACCCCAUGUUCCAGGACAGGACCCAGAGUUCCAGCGCUGCACCCCGAGUUCCAGGACAGCACCCUGAGUUUUAGGGUGACACCCCAAGUUCUAGGAUGACACCUGAGUACCAGGACAAGUCCCCAAGUUCUAGGAUAGAACCCCAAGUUCCAAGAUGGCACCCCGGGUUCCAGGACAGGACCCAAGUUCCAGGAUGGCACCCCGAGUUCCAGGACGGCACCCCGAGUUCCAGGAUGGCACCCCAAGUUCUAGGACAACACCUGAGUUCCGGGACAGGACCCCGAGUUCUAGGACAGUACCCCGAGUUCCAGGAUGGCACCCCGAGUUCCAGGACAUCACCCAGAGUUCCAGGACAGCACCCCAAGUUCCAGGACAGCACCUUGAGUUCCAGGAUGGCACCCGAGUUCCAAGACAGCACCCCGAGUUCCAGGACUGCACCCGGAGUUCCAGGACAGGACCCCGAGUCCCAGGACGGCACCCCGAGUUCCGGGACAACACCCUGAAUUGUGGUUGUCUUCAGGUCCCAGGAAACCACUUGUUUGCUUUCUAUCAGUGCAGAUUUUCUUUUCAUUAUUUUAUUGUGGGAAAAUGCAUAUAACAUAAAGUAUGUCAUACUGUAAAUUAACUGUGAAUGUCCUAGAAUUUCAUUUAAAUGGUGUAAUCAAUUAUAUACUAUAAGUUCUCCUUAUAGUGUCUGGAUUUCUUUUCUCAUUUGGCAUAAUAUUUGAGGCUCAUCCACACUGACAGAUGGAUCAGUAGUUUGUUGGAUCUUUAAUAACUGAGGUGUAGUUGAUGUACUGGAGAAGGCAAUGGCACCCCACUCCAGCACUCUUGCCUGGAAAAUCCCAUGGACAGAGGAGCCUGGUGGGCCGCAGUCCAUGGGGUCGCUAAGAGUCGGACACGACUGAGCGACUUCACUUUCACUUUUCACUUUCAUGCAUUGGAGAAGGCAAUGGCAACCCACUCCAGCGUUCUUGCCUGGAGAAUCCCAGGGGCGGGGGAGCCUGGUGGGCUGCUGUCUAUGGGGUCGCACAGAGUCGGGCGGGACUGCAGUGCCUCGGCGGCAGCAGCAGCAGCCAGUGUCCAGCGCUGGCUUCAGGUCUGCAGCAGGGUGACUCGGGUGUACGUCUCUGCUUCUGAGUUGGACCAAGCUGUCCUCCUUCUUCACAUUUCGUGGUUUCCGGCUGUCCUGGCUUGUAGAUGGCUUGUUGUAGACGCUCUAGGCUCGCCUGUGUUUCUCUCAGCAGCACAGGGUCAGUUAAUUAGGCUCGAGUCAGACUUCAAACUCGGCCCCCCUUGCAGUGGCUGAAGCGGGGCUGUCUGAAGCCGGCCCCUUCGUGCCCAGUCGGGGGGGCAGCCAGAGGUGGGGGCCGAGUUCAAGGUCAGGAUGUGGUGCCCUCCUUCCAUUCGU
rnacentral:lncRNA from 1 species